AGCCAGACUCCUACGGGAGGCAGCAGUGGGGAAUAUUGCACAAUGGGGGAAACCCUGAUGCAGCGACGCCGCGUGAGCGAUGAAGUAUUUCGGUGUGUAAAGCUCUAUCAGCAGGGAAGAAGAUGACGGUACCUGACUAAGAAGCCCCGGCUAACUACGUGCCAGCAGCCGCGGUAAUACGUAGGGGGCAAGCGUUAUCCGGAUUUACUGGGUGUAAAGGGAGCGUAGACGGCGAUGCAAGCCAGAUGUGAAAGCCCGGGGCUCAACCCCGGGACUGCUCUUGGAACUGCGUGGCUGGAGUGCAGGAGGGGCAGGCGGAAUUCCUGGUGUAGCGGUGAAAUGCGUAGAUAUCAGGAGGAACACCGGUGGCGAAGGCGGCCUGCUGGACGAUGACUGACGUUGAGGCUCGAAAGCGUGGGGAGCAAACAGGAUUAGAUACCCGUGUA
rnacentral:rRNA from 1 species